rnacentral:rRNA from 1 species
AAUUAGAGAAGUGUUAUCCGCUCAAGCCUGUGCAAAAGUCCCUAGGAAAAGGGCAUCAUAGAGGGUGACAAUCCCGUAUUUGGCACGGAUCCCUUGAGCUUUUGUGAUACACUCUCGAUGACUCCAGUUGUUUGGGAAUGCAGCUCCAAAUGGGUGGUAAAUUCCAUCUAAAGCUAAAUAUUGGCGAGAAACCGAUAGCGCACAAGUACCGUGAGGGAAAGAUGAAAAGUACUUUGAAAAGAGAGUUAAACAGUAUGUGAAAUUGUUGAAAGGGAAACGCUUGAAGUCAGUCAUGUCCUUCAAAAAUCAACCCAAGCUUUUGAUUGGGCGUACUUUUUGUAGAACAGGUCAGCAUCAAUUUUAAUCAUUGGAAAAAGGACUUGGGAAUGUGGCAUCUUUGGAUGUGUUAUAGCCCUUGUUUGUAUGCAAUGAUUGGGAUUGAGGAACUCACUGUGACAAUUUUUGUUUGGAGGCAAUUGCCUCACAUAACGCACUUGGGAUGCUGGCAUAUUGGCUUUAAUCGACCCGUCUUGAAACACGGACCAAGGAGUCUAACAUGCAUGCGAGUGUGUGGGUGGAAACUCAAGCGCGUAAUGAAAGUGAAAGUUGAGAACUCUGUCAUGGGUGCAUCGACGCCCGGUUUGGAUCUUUUGUGAUAGACCUGUGGUAGAGCAUGUAUGUUGGGACCCGAAAGAUGGUGAACUAU